rnacentral:lncRNA from 1 species
AGGGUUAGAUGAGGUCAUGAGAAAAAUCCUCUUUGCUCAUCACCUUUUCCUCCAACUAUGCCUCAAUUCUCAAAUCUGUAUUUAUGUCCAAUAUUUUGUGCUUUAUCCUUUGCAUCUUUACCUAUACAUCAAAUUCACUGCCAAGAACACAUUUGCCCUCUCUCUUCCAUCUGCCUUAAUUCUUCCGACUCUUCAACCCUCAGCUUAGAUGUUAUCUGCUCAAGUCUAUACAGCCAUUGCUGCUGUCAUUAACAUGAGCAUCUUUAACAUCAUUAUUGUAGUCCUGCCAAAGACUGACAGAGGUCCGCCAGUUUAUUAGCCAUUUGCUAGGAGUUCCUAAUACACCAUAGGAUACCUUGCUUUGUCCACAGUUCUUGGAAAGAGAGUGAAAGAAUUGCUUUCUAAGUAGCUAAAAUUCCAACUCUUGUUUAAGUGAUUUAUUUUGAGAACCCCUUUCUGGAAGGCAUAGUGUCCGUUCCAUCUUUACCUAGUUAUUGCCCAUGGCUUCUCCAUUUGUUGUAGUUUCUUUUACAGAGACAGUUAUUAUAUAUAGAUUGAAUCUUCUUUCUUUGCUCAGUGCUAAUAAGGUAGUGGUUUAAGAUUCUUUCAUGAUCAGCUCUCCAACCACUCUAAGCCCUGUCACACCAUUUUCCUGGGAAGAUGCAAUCUGUUGAAUUUUUAUCAGAUCUUUUUUAUCCAGUAGCAAACAAACCACUGCUCUGGGUUGGAAGACUUCAAGAUGUAAAGUAAAAAGCCAGUGGAAAAAAGAUAUGUCUCUCACUAAGUUUAGACUUAUAACCUUGAAAUCAGGAGAUUUAGAUGACCAUGUUUUCUGAAAUGGGCCAGGGAAAGAGAAUAUCAGUCUGCAGAAAGAGAGAUAAGCCAUCAUGGAGAGAUGAGCAAAGGUGAGACCAGGAGUGGGUUCCAGAGGAGUUUGACACUCCAGUUCUAAUCUGGAGGCCCCACUGCAUUGCUGCCCUUGGUUCCAAAAGACUUUCCACUAUUAUUUCAAUAUGAAGGCAACCUAGAGUUGACUUUUUGUCACUGUGACCAUGAAAAUGUGCUCUUAUUUCAUAUUUAUUAAAAUAUGACCUAGGUUUUUUGUUUUUGUUUUUGUUUUUUUUUGCUUUUAUGUUUACAAUUUUCCUUGCAUUUACAAUUCAAAUAUAUUGCGACUUUAAAAUUCCGUGUGCAGGAGUUCCCAUCGCGGCUCAGUGGUUAACGAAUCCAACUAGGAACCAUGGGCUUGUAGGUUCGAUCCCUGGCCUUGCUCAGUGGGUUGCCGUGAGCUGUGGUGUAGGUUGCAGACGCAGCUCGGAUCCCGAGUUGCUAUGGCUCUGGUGUAGGCCAGCGGCUACAGCUCUGAUUCUACCCCUAGCCUGGGAACGUCCAUAUGCUGUGAGUGUGGCCCUAUAAAGUAAAAAAAAAAUAAAUUUUGUGUGCAAAAAGGUAAAUUUAAUAUAAUUUUACUUUGAUUUACCUCUACUCCCUCUUUCUGAUCAUAGUGAAUAUAAUCCGUUGGUAACAGCCAGCAACACUGACACCACUGAAUUAAUUUGGCUUUUAAUAGUUAAAUAUUCUCUUUCAAAAAUCACAUUUUUCUUUUAAGUUUACACAUAUUACCACAUUUACUGGUAAUUAGAUACAUUUCUGUGUGUUCACUGCUAUUUCGCCUUUCUUGCGUUUUAACAUAGUUCAUUGAAUUGAUCGCCAGAGUAUACUGAAUAAGUAUUUCAAGAAUUUUACAUAGUGGUAUGUAAUUUGUAUCUUUAAAUAACUUGAAAUGACAUAUGAGUGAUACCAUGGUAGGUAUAGCGUUUGCUGUCGGUGUCCUCACGCUGUCCAACUACACCCUCAGAGUGUGUAUUCAGCCUGCUUCAGACCCUUUCCAACUGUCAGAGUCUGCAUCUCUGUGCCCAAGGGAUUUUUCCCAAUGCACUGAAAGUUAUUCUUCCCUUGCCUAUGCAGUAGCCUAGGAGUACCAGGGAAUUAACAAUGCCAGAGAGAAGCUCUCCCUCAGUGACUGAUUAAUAUGACAUAGGCUAUGAUGUGUAUUGUAUCUGUUGUGAAGUGAGCACCACAGUAAGUCAAGUAACAUCAAUCACCUUAUAUGAUUACAGAAUUUUGUGGGGUUUUUUUUUUGAUAACUUUUAAGAUCUAUUCUUUCUUAACAUUCAAAUAUGAAAUACGGUACUCUUAACCAGACCAUGCUGUGUAUUACAUCCUCAUGACUUAUUUUGUACCUGAAAGUUUGUACCUUCUUUUGACUCCCUUCACACAUUCCCUUCCCCCCACCUCAUCUCUGGUAGCCAACCAUCUGUUCUAUGUAUCUAGAGUAUGAGCUUGUUUGUUUGUUUUUAGAUUGCACACAUAGGUGAGAUAAUGCAGUAUUUGUCUUUUUCUGCCUGACCUAUUUCACUGAGUGUAAUACUCUUAGUGCUUUUUUCUCUUAAGAUUUGUAGAUCAUGAGUGGAGGGUGAUAACCUGGUACCCCAGCUCAAAGGGAAGGGGCAAUAAAAUAGUGAAGGAGGGGAGUUCCCGUUGUGGCGCAGUGGUUAACGAAUCCGACUAGGAACCAUGAGGUUGCGGGUUCGGUCCCUGCCCUUGCUCAGUGGGUUAACGAUCCGGCAUUGCCGUGAGCUGUGGUGUAGGUUGCAGAUGCGGCUCAGAUCCCGUGUUGCUGUGGCUCUAGCCUAGGCCGGAGACUACAGCUCCGAUUAGACCCCUAGCCUGGGAACCUCCAUAUGCCGUGGGAGCGGCCCAA